rnacentral:rRNA from 1 species
AAUUCCUACGGGGCGCAGCAGUGGGGAAUAUUGGGCAAUGGGCGCAAGCCUGACCCAGCAACGCCGCGUGAAGGAAGAAGGCUUUCGGGUUGUAAACUUCUUUUGACAGGGAAGAGCAGAAGACGGUACCUGUCGAAUAAGCCACGGCUAACUACGUGCCAGCAGCCGCGGUAAUACGUAUGGUGCAAGCGUUAUCCGGAUUUACUGGGUGUAAAGGGAGCGCAGGCGGCGCGUUAAGCCUGGUGUGAAAGCCCGCGGCCCAACCGCGGGACUGCAUUGGGAACUGGCGCGCUAGAGUGCCGGCG